AACAGGGCCCACGAGACUCCCAACAGGGCCCACGAGACUCCCAACAGGGCCCACGAGACUCCCAACAGGACCCCCAACAGGGCCUACGAGACUCCCAACAGGACCCCCAACAGGGCCUACGAGACUCCCAACAGGACCCCCAACAGGCCCUACGAAACUCCCAACAGGCCCUACGAAACUCCCAACAGGCCCUACGAAACUCCCAAGAAGGCCUACGUAGCCCCUCAGCGGCAAGCAACGAACCAGGCCUACAAGGCUCCCAACAGGGCCUACGUGGCCCCUCAGAGGCAGGCUGAACCCCAGGCCUACAUCUUUCCUCAGGUUGCUCCUCUCAAGUCCCGAGUGCUCACAUAAAUGCCAAAUGGUUUCGUGUCAGUCCAAAGUGGGGACAAUAGCAGGUGCAGCUGGUGUCCUCGGAUGAAUAUUUUAUUUUUAAAUAAAUACAUUAAUUUAC